rnacentral:lncRNA from 1 species
CGAGAACUUCGGGAGGCGGGGGAGGAAAGCGGCCGGCGAGCGCUGGCUGACAUUUUCCUGCCCGGAAGGAUGCAUGGCCCGGGGUCUCCUGCACCUGAGGGUGGGCGGGAGGCGGCCCCGCGGGUUGUGUUGCUGGAAAAAGGGGUCUCGAUCCAGACCCCAAGAGAGGGUUCUUGGGUCUACUUCAGGGAAGAAUUGGAGGCGAGUCACAGAGCGCAGUGAAGGAAGCAAGUUUAUUGGAAUCUACUCCGUUAGAGAGUGCAAGUCCUCAGACUGCAGGAGGAGGAACUCCCGUCCUUCGGUAGUGUCACUACUUAGAGGCAGCUGUGAGGAGCUGUGAUUAAUCGUGGAAUGUGCUGAUGUGCCCACUAAAGAUGCCUGGUAAGCAGUGGCUCCUCUAACAAGUGGGCAGCUUGGAACUGGGAACGAGAGAGCCACCGAAACAGAAUGAGGGAGACAAAGAAGUGGGCAUCACCCUUAACUCCACAAGGGCUUCCCAAGGGCGCUGUACCGUACGCAGGCCCAGGACGAACUUUAUUUCUCGCCCCAGCAUCGCUGUCCUUGUCGGUGAGACCCUGGCUUUAGGGCAGACAGGACCACGUUUCAUAAGUUCAUGCUGUCCCAGCAGAGGAAUAACGCCAGAAAGUGUUCCAGUACAACCAGAGAAAGAGAGUCCAUGAGAAAUCUGCCCUUGUGAAGUUGGAAUCCCCUCAACCUCACCCCGCUGACUUGAAUGAAGCGACUGAGACGGGCUAUGAUGGAGCAGAUCCGGUUGCUCGACCUUCUCCCUUGCACCAACACAUGUAGUUAAUAGUUACUGGACAUGCAUAUUCAGUGGGUUCCAGGUACCAAACUUGUAUUGAAUGGUAUGUGCCAGACACCGUCUUGAGAUCUGGAGAAUAAAAAAAUAAAAAAAUAAAAACGAGACAUCCAGAGCACAGUA